UGGUCCAGCAAUCCAAAGUUAUCAAAAGUA
rnacentral:piRNA from 1 species